UCCGGCUUAUCACCGGCAGUUUCUUUAGAGUGCCCAACUGAAUGAUGGCAACUAAAGACGAGGGUUGCGCUCGUUGCGGGACUUAACCCAACAUCUCACGACACGAGCUGACGACAGCCAUGCACCACCUGUGCAGGCUCCGAAGAGCGCCCGCUUUCACGGGUUUCACCCUGCAUGUCAAACCCAGGUAAGGUUCUUCGCGUCGCAUCGAAUUAAACCACAUGCUCCGCUGCUUGUGCGGGUCCCCGUCAAUUCCUUUGAGUUUUAACCUUGCGGCCGUACUCCCCAGGCGGAUAACUUAAUGCGUUAGCUGCGCCACCAAAAGCCUAAGGCCCCUGACAGCUAGUUAUCAUCGUUUACGGCGUGGACUAC
rnacentral:misc_RNA from 1 species